AAAUAAUGUUGCCUUCAUCCCAAGCAUUUUUAGCUGUACCACAUAUAGACCCCUGCCCUUUCGUCUCUAGAUACACAGGAAUACAUUACAGGCAGUUGUGGUAUAGUGCAAUGCCUAACUAACAAUCACAGAGCUAUCAGUACUGCAGGUUGUGAGAGCCCCUUUCCUCUCUUAGUACCACUGGGUCCAGAUAGAGACACACAUCAUUCUCCAAGGGUAUUUGUAAUGUGGUAUCCCCAUUUGGGGGAGAGAGGGCACGAAUGCCCCCACCCACCCACAGCUUUUUGCACUGGUUGUAAGUUCCAUAACUGUGGGUCUGGGGAGACAUGCCCAACCACUUUUAAGCAGUGGUCUUGUACUAAAUCAGUAUGGCUGUUGCUGGAGCGGUCCAAAACCUUGCUCUGGCCGAGUGCUCCCAACAUCACUGAAAUUUGACACACACCCCCGUACAGAUGGAGGGAGGUUGAGCCAAAUUUCAGUGACUGGCAUUCAAGCACUGCAACCAAGCACAUCGGGUCUCAGUGGCACUCAGAUUUGACCUUGCUGCUUGUCUAUCCAGACAGAGGGGCGGCCAGACCAAAUGGGUCUCAACCUGACCAUGGGGAGUCUGUUCCUGUGUGGUAAAGUGCAGGGGAGUCUGCCAAGAACUCGACAUUUGGGGCACCAUCUCAUGCACUGUUUGGUCAAACUGAACUGGUGUCUGACUGUUAUCUGGGGCAGCUCCUGGCAGGUGCACUCGGCGGGAACUGAACUCUGGCCUCAGAAGAGGAAUCUAAAGACCUCCCUUGCUUGGAACAGAAGAAACGAAUUAAUAACAGAGCAUGCUGUCUCCUUGCCCCUCCUCCACCGCCGUUAUUUCCACCACCGUAUUUCAAACAGGGCUGGGAUUCUAAGCUGCUUACCCUUGAUAUGA
rnacentral:lncRNA from 1 species